CGGCAAGACGGAAAGACCCCGUGAACCUUUACUAUAGCUUGACACUGAACAUUGAGCCUUGAUGUGUAGGAUAGGUGGGAGGCUUUGAAGCGUGGACGCCAGUCUGCGUGGAGCCAACCUUGAAAUACCACCCUUUAAUGUUUGAUGUUCUAACGUUGGCCCCUCACCGGGGUUGCGGACAGUGUCUGGUGGGUAGUUUGACUGGGGCGGUCUCCUCCCAAAGCGUAACGGAGGAGCACGAAGGUUAGCUAAUCCUGGUCGGACAUCAGGAGGUUAGUGCAAUGGCAUAAGCUAGCUUGACUG
rnacentral:rRNA from 1 species